rnacentral:ncRNA from 1 species
CAGUAAUCCUGCUCAGUACGAGAGGAUCCAUGAACAGACUUGUGGUGUCUGGUCUUGGCUGAGGAGCCAGUGGUGUGAAGCUGCCUUCUGUAGGAUAAUGACUGAAUGCCUCUGAGUCAGAACCCCCCAUGAAA